UAUGGCUCAGGAUGAACGCUAGCGGCAGGCUUAACACAUGCAAGUCGAGGGGUAACAGGGAGUAGCAAUACUCUGCUGACGACCGGCGCACGGGUGCGUAACGCGUAUGCAACCUACCUGUAACAGGGGUAUAACGGAGGGAAACUUCCACUAAUCCCCCAUAUUGUCAGAGAUUCGCAUGAUUCUCUGACGAAAGCUUUGGUGGUUACGGAUGGGCAUGCGUGACAUUAGGUAGUUGGCGGGGCAACGGCCCACCAAGCCGACGAUGUCUAGGGGAGCUGAGAGGCUUAUCCCCCACACUGGUACUGAGACACGGACCAGACUCCUACGGGAGGCAGCAGUGAGGAAUAUUGGUCAAUGGGCGGAAGCCUGAACCAGCCAAUGCCGCGUGGGGGAUGGAGGCCCUAUGGGUUGUAAACCCCUUUUGUCCCGGAGUAAUAAGGCCCUUGCGAGGGUCGAUGAGAGUACGGGGCGAAUAAGCAUCGGCUAACUCCGUGCCAGCCGCCGC
rnacentral:rRNA from 1 species